CUGCCGAGGUGAUCUGCCGCCCGCGGGGAGGGCGGUUGCGUGGCCCGAAGGUCCAGGACGGGGAUUCGGGGAGGUGGGGGGCCGUUUUAGCCGUGUGCCCCCUUCUCUUGUACGAGCGCGGGCGCGCCUCGAACUCCCGGGACCGGCCAGGCUGGGCGCGGGGCGCCGCUCCCGAGACCUGGAGGAGUCCGCUCCUCCCGCGUAGCCCUGGACCGUGGAGGUUCGCCGGGACUGGUGGCUGGAGAAACGCGACUCGGACGGGAAGUCCUUCCUGCGUCCGGCCGGGGUUUCUUGAUGCGGAGCCGAAUAACUGUGUGUUUUUGCGUUCAGCCCAUUUCUUGCGGCUCCUCGGGCGCGCGGAGUUUGCGGCGUACCUGCGGAGAUCGUACCUGCGGAGAUCGCACCUGCGGAGGGCUUACCUGCGCCUGAGGAGGAGGAAGGGCAAGAUCCAGCCUGAGGGACCCGCGCUCCAGUCUCUCUGCAUAAGGGCGGUCCCCGGGUGGGGCGAAGCUCCCCGGUCUUUACUCUCGUCCCGACCCCAGCGUGGGCCACCGGCUGCAAGAUGAACUGUCGCUCGGAGGUGCUGGAGGUGUCGGUGGAGGGGCGGCAGGUGGAGGAGGCUAUGCUGGCCGUGCUGCACACGGUGCUCCUGCACCGCAGCACCGGCAAGUUCCACUACAAGAAGGAGGGCACCUACUCCAUCGGCACCGUGGGCACCCAGGACGUUGACUGCGACUUCAUCGACUUCACCUACGUGCGCGUCUCGUCUGAGGAGUUGGACCGCGCCCUGCGCAAGGUCGUCGGGGAGUUCAGGGAUGCUCUGCGAAACUCCGGGGGCGAUGGGCUGGGCCAGAUGUCCUUGGAGUUCUAUCAGAAGAAGAAGUCUCGCUGGCCUUUCUCAGACGAGUGCAUCCCCUGGGAGGUGUGGACGGUCAAGGUGCACGUGGUGGCCCUGGCCACGGAGCAGGAACGGCAGAUCUGCCGGGAGAAGGUGGGUGAGAAGCUCUGCGAGAAGAUCACCAACAUUGUAGAGGUGAUGAACCGGCACGAGUACCUGCCCAAGAUGCCCACGCAGUCGGAGGUGGACAACGUGUUUGACACAGGCUUGCGGGACGUGCAGCCCUACCUCUACAAGAUCUCCUUCCAAAUCACCGACGCCCUGGGCUCCUCCGUCACCACCACCAUGCGCAGGCUCAUCAAAGACACCCUGGCCCUCUAGGUGUCGCUGGGGCCUCGGGUGCUCCUUGAUGGCUUGCAGACCUUGGCUUCUGGGGAUCGUACUGUUAGGCCCUGUUAGCCCUUGGGGCUCUGGAACCCGCUCCAGGUCCUUGAUGAGAUCUGGAAGGGCCACCCCUGGCUUCCUGGUGUGUGGUUGCCAGUCUCUGGUCAUCCUAUCACCUUCACUGAUGGUCAGGUCCGGCCUACACUGUCUCUCCGUGCCCCUGGUGGGGGUCCCCUUUCCUACGCUGUACAGAGGACAUCACUAGGCUGGUGAAUAAAGUUGAGAAUGCCUCUCACUGCUGUGGCC